UACCCCGUGGUGUAAUUGGUAGCACAGCAGAUUCUGGUUCUGCUAGUUCUGGUUCGAGUCCAGGCGGGGUAACCA
rnacentral:tRNA from 1 species